UGCUCGAGUGGCGAACGGGUGAGUAACACGUGAGUAACCUGCCCUUGACUUUGGGAUAACUUCAGGAAACUGGGGCUAAUACCGGAUAGGAGCUCCUGCUGCAUGGUGGGGGUUGGAAAGUUUCGGCGGUUUGGGAUGGACUCGCGGCUUAUCAGCUUGCUGGUGGGGUAGUGGCUUACCAAGGCUUUGACGGGUAGCCGGCCUGAGAGGGUGACCGGCCACAUUGGGACUGAGAUACGGCCCAG
rnacentral:rRNA from 1 species